rnacentral:lncRNA from 1 species
GAUUCAGUUUUUGCUGCUUGCUUUUUUUGGUCUUUUUGGGAGACCACAGUUUGAGGGCAAAGUUGUGUAGAAAGCAUCCAUGUGGAGCGUCCACUUUGAUGGUAGGAUUGGAAAUGGAUUGGAUAAAACCAUUUAGAUCUGUGAAUCUAUCCACACGAAUACAAAUUAAUAUCUGUAUAUGGUUUUAAUUGUAAUUCUAUUU